AACGAACGCUGGCGGCAUGCCAACACAUGCAAGUCGAACGAGACCUUCGGGUCUAGUGGCGCACGGGUGCGUAACGCGUGGGAACCUGCCCUUAGGUUCGGAAUAACUCCCCGAAAGGGGUGCUAAUACCGGAUAAUGUCUUCGGACCAAAGAUUUAUCGCCUUUGGAUGGGCCCGCGUUGGAUUAGCUAGUUGGUAGGGUAAAAGCCUACCAAGGCGACGAUCCAUAGCUGGUCUGAGAGGAUGAUCAGCCACACUGGGACUGAGACACGGCCCAGACUCCUACGGGAGGCAGCAGUGGGGAAUAUUGGACAAUGGGCGAAAGCCUGAUCCAGCAAUGCCGCGUGAGUGAUGAAGGCCUUAGGGUUGUAAAGCUCUUUUACCCGGGAUGAUAAUGACAGUACCGGGAGAAUAAGCUCCGGCUAACUCCGUG
rnacentral:rRNA from 1 species